AGAGAUGUGUGAUGACGCAUAUCAAUAAGCGGAGGAAAAGAAACUAACAAGGAUUCCCUUAGUAACGGCGAGUGAAGCGGGAAGAGCUCAAAUUUGAAAUCUUCAAGGUUCUACCUUGACGAAUUGUAGUUUAUAGAAGUGUUUUCUGUUAGUAGAGUGGCAAAAGUUCUUUGGAAUAGGACAUCAUAGAGGGUGAGAAUCCCGUAUUUGGUCAUUCUUUCUAGCUUUGUGAUACACUUUCAACGAGUCGGAUUGUUUGGGAAUGCAGUCCAAAAUGGGUGGUAAAUUUCAUCUAAAGCUAAAUAUUGGCGAGAGACCGAUAGCGAACAAGUACCGUGAGGGAAAGAUGAAAAGAACUUUGAAAAGAGAGUUAAACAGUACGUGAAAUUGUCAAAAGGGAAGCGUUUGACACCAGUGUUGUUUUUCCGAAAAUCAAUUACGAAUGUUUUAUUUUUGAGAAGAUAUGACUUCAUCGGCUUGCUUCUCUCUUUACGAAACUUUCUUAAUGCACUUUUCGGUUAACAAGUCAACAUCAAUUUCUUUUGUUGUAAAAGGGUCAUGAGGAAGGUGGCUUUCUUUUCGGAGAAAGUGUUUAUAGCCUUGUACCUCUGCAAUCGGAGAGAUUGAGGUCUGCAGCGUAGAUCCUUCGGGGUUAGAUACAUUUGUGCUAAGUUAUAGCUUUUCAUAGACAACUUGUUGACUAUGUUAGUCUUGUAGCUUACUCGCUUAUGCUAUUUUACCUACGCUUAGGAUGUUGACGAUCAGCUGAGCGCG
rnacentral:rRNA from 1 species